rnacentral:lncRNA from 1 species
CUCUGCAGAGAAGUCUGGAUUAUCAGGGGAGCAAGAGGAAACCCAGAAAACUGGGCGAAGAAAGCCUCGAUUGUCUCAAGGACAAAUCUGCACAGUGCUUCAAACCAAAUCCGACUGAAUCUAAAGUGAGAGUAAAAAUCCAUAAACUAGAUGUUCUGGCCCCUGUGUAUAAUCCUAAACCUCUGAUCACGCUCGAGGAAGCCAGACGUGACCCCCACAGUUACCCCGGGCCGGCGGGAACAGAGCGGGUCAGAGCUGCGAUGCCACACACAGCGGAGAGCGGGUGUUUAAGGGGCGACCUCUCCCUCAGCUCCUGACCCGAGGCCCGUCAGCACACCACUCCAGCCUGAGCACAGGCAACAGGAUCAGGUUUCAGGGGAAAAUGUUGGAAAUUAGCAAGAGCAGAGUCAGGCUCAGAACACAAUGGCAGCUCUCUGUCAGGGGGAGACUUCAAAGAGCCGCUGAGUGACUGCUCUGAGUUGGACUUUGUUGUAGAUCACUGAGGAAAUUCACAGAUGUUUUCUCAUACGAGACACCAUUACUGAGGCUCUCGCACCCGGUAGCCCCGAGCAUUUCUCUGCCUUUCCAUCUCUCCUGCUCUUGUGUGCGAGACAGAUGUGGAACCCCUUUUUUCUUUUUUGCAGACUUUUCGCUUUAUUUUCUUCUGCUGUCUGUCCAGAGAGCAUGAAAAGUUAGGCUCUGACCUGUCCGAAAGAAGCCUUAAAAAAAAUCAAGAAACUCACUGUUGAUGCUUUCAUCAAAAACGCACAGACGAUGCUGUGAUCCUGUCAGAAGACAUCCAUUUAAAGUUGUGCAUCACCACCAAACUCCACCAAACUUGGAGAUUAUAGACUGAUAUUUUACAUUAUUUGCAUGUGAUUUGAUUCAGCUCAUGUAUUAACCCUAUAAAUCUUAAUGUUUCUUGGCAUCUAAAUUAUCAACAUGAUGCUGAAAAACAGGCUUUUGAGGAAUAUUAUUUGUUCAUCUCUCAAAAAAACAUUGUAUUGCAUUGCAUAACAUCUACUUCUGCUUUAUUUGUAAAGAUCAUUGAUUAACAUUACAAGCUAUCAGAAUGACAUUUACACCAUUAAAUUUGUGUUUUAUGUAACCACUGAAAACUAAUCCCCCUCUUUUUUCUUUAAUUGAAGAUUGCUUUCUCCAGACUUUUGCUACAAAAUAUGCUGUAUAUAUAUAAAAUAAUGAGAGGUAAAUAUGUAUGUAGCAAUAUUUUCUCAGUAUUUGGAUUUCCGUUUUUAUUACGAAAGACAAAUGUGUUAUAUAUCAGUUUUCUUGUAAAAUAAAAUGGAAAAAUGCAAACUGUUGUUAAUUAUAUAAGGACUCCCCAUGGUAGCCUGUUGAA